GUUCUAUUGUGAAUGACUUGGAGGUUGUGGAAACCCUUGUUGCUAAUAUGAGUCUGGAGGAAAAGCUUGACGAAAAGCAACAAGAAGAAGCUGGCAGUGAUGAUGACAAUUUUGAUUAUACCAUGAGUACUUCAACUUUAGGGGAGAGGCUAGCUAUGCAAGAUAAUCAAGGAACCGAUAUUGAAUAAGAGGCUGAUCACCUGCAUCCGGAGCAAGAAGUUUAGGGUGAUGCCAGUGGAUUGGAAGAACACCAUGUCGAAGAGAAAUCAAGGAUGAUUACCGGCUUCUACUUGAUCGAAUACUUGCCUUUCAUAAUAAAUAAAAACUUCGAUUGAAUUAAGUUUUUCUUAAGUACGACCUUCGUCUUGGGCUCUAUGUGUAAUGCUAUCAGCAUUUUAUCGGUACUGCAUAUUGUUGCUAUACUGGUGAUUUAUAACUUUAGAACGCCACUCUCUAGUGUUACGCGCUUGGAUGAAAACAUGUUUUCAUAUUGUUGCUUAGUAGAAAUAAAUCAUGUC